ensembl:lncRNA
UGCAUAGAUUACAAUGGAGCUUGAAAAUGUGAUCACCUUGCUUAUAUACAGCAGCAUAGCAAUGGAGAUUUCAGGUUAUGCAACUGUUUGUUUGCACUGCUUAUCUGAGUGCUGAAUCUGGCCUUGAACUGGAAAAGGAUGAAAGAAGUCUGCCUCAUUUCUUCAUAAAACCUCAGGCUCCUUCUGACGUUCAGUCUCCAGCCUGGCUACAUAUGCCCCUGCUUCCAUCUGACUAGGCUGUGGAGAACUGCAAAAGCAAGAGAAACUUCCUCUCACCUUCCAAGGCUCCAGAGAGCUCAGAGCUUCAUAGAUGAGGUGUUGCUAG